CCUACGGGAGGCUGCAGUGGGGAAUAUUGGACAAUGGGGGCAACCCUGAUCCAGCCAUGCCGCGUGUGUGAAGAAGGCCCUCGGGGUGUAAAGCACUUUCAGUGAGGAAGAACGCCUGGUGGUUAAUACCCAUCAGGAAAGACAUCACUCACAGAAGAAGCACCGGCUAACUCCGUGCCAGCAGCCGCGGUAAUACGGAGGGUGCGAGCGUUAAUCGGAAUUACUGGGCGUAAAGCGCGCGUAGGUGGCUUGAUAAGCCGGUUGUGAAAGCCCCGGGCUCAACCUGGGAACGGCAUCCGGAACUGCCAAUCUAGAGUGGAGGAGAGGAAGGCAGAAUUCCCGGUGUAGCGGUGAAAUGCGUAGAGAUCGGGAGGAAUACCAGUGGCGAAGGCGGCCUUCUGGACAGAAACUGACGCUGAGGUGCGAAAGCAUGGGUAGCAAACAGGAUUAGAUACCCGUGUAGUC
rnacentral:rRNA from 1 species